rnacentral:rRNA from 1 species
UACGUAGGUGACGAGCGUUAUCCGGAAUACUGGGCGUAAAGCGCACGCAAGCGGUCUAACAAGUCUGGCGUGAAAUCCUCUGGCUUAACCAGGGGCGGUCGCUGGAGACUGUUAAACUUGAGGCGAUGAGAGGGGGUGCAGAAUUCCCCGGUGUAGUGGUGGAAUGCGUAGAUAUCGGGAGGAACACCAGUGGCGAAGGCGACUACCUGGCCUGUUCUUGACGCUGAGGCGCGAAAGCUAGGGGAGCAAACGGG